UGGGGAAUCUUCCUCAAUGGGCGAAAGCCUGACGGAGCAACGCCGCGUGAGUGAAGACGGCCUUCGGGUUGUAAAACUCUGUGAUUCGGGACGAAAGAUAAGCAGACGAAUAAUCUGCAUAAGUGACGGUACCGAAAAAGCAAGCCACGGCUAACUACGCGCCAGCAGCCGCGGUAAUACGUAGGUGGCAAGCGUUGUCCGGAAUUAUUGGGCGUAAAGCGCGCGCAGGCGGCUACUUAAGUCCAUCUUAAAAGUGCGGGGCUUAACCCCGUGAUGGGAUGGAAACUGAGAAGCUGGAGUGUCGGAGAGGAAAGUGGAAUUCCUAGUGUAGGGGUGAAAUGCGUAGAGAUUAGGAGGAACACCGGUGGCGAAAGCGGCUUUUUGGCCUGCAACUGACACUGAGGCGCGAAAGCGUGGGGAGCAAACAGG
rnacentral:rRNA from 1 species